UACGUAGGGUCCGAGCGUUGUCCGGAAUUAUUGGGCGUAAUGAGCUCGUAGGCGGUUUGUCGCGUCUGCUGUGAAAUCCCGAGGCUCAACCUCGGGUCUGCAGUGGGUACGGGCAGACUGGAGUGCGGUAGGGGAGAAUGGAAUUCCUGGUGUAGCGGUGGAAUGCGCAGAUAUCAGGAGGAACACCGAUGGCGAAGGCAGUUCUCUGGGCCGUAACUGACGCUGAGGAGCGAAAGCGUGGGGAGCGAACAGG
rnacentral:rRNA from 1 species